rnacentral:rRNA from 1 species
AAUAGAUACCCCGGUAGUCCACGCCGUAAACGGUGGGCACUAGGUGUGGGCGACAUUCCACGUCGUCCGUGCCGCAGCUAACGCAUUAAGUGCCCCGCCUGGGGAGUACGGCCGCAAGGCUAAAACUCGAAGGAAUUGACGGGGGCCCGCACAAGCGGCGGAGCAUGUGGCUUAAUUCGACGCAACGCGAAGAACCUUACCAAGGCUUGACAUACACCGGAAACGUCCAGAGAUGGGCGCCCCCUUGUGGUCGGUGUACAGGUGGUGCAUGGCUGUCGUCAGCUCGUGUCGUGAGAUGUUGGGUUAAGUCCCGCAACGAGCGCAACCCUUGUCCCGUGUUGCCAGCAGGCCCUUGUGGUGCUGGGGACUCACGGGAGACCGCCGGGGUCAACUCGGAGGAAGGUGGGGACGACGUCAAGUCAUCAUGCCCCUUACGUCUUGGGCUGCACACGUGCUACAAUGGCCGGUACAAUGAGCUGCGAUACCGCGAGGUGGAGCGAAUCUCAAAAAGCCGGUCUCAGUUCGGAUUGGGGUCUGC